UAGUAGAAGAAAGAAAAAC
rnacentral:sRNA from 1 species